CCUGCUCAGUUCUGCUGAAAAGAGAAGGGUCCGGCUGCAGGUCGCAGACUUGGCCUUCCACGCCUCCUGCCUUCCACAGUCCGCCCCACAACCGCCUAUAGUCCGUAGAAAGAGAAGAAGAGCUGCUGUACAGUUUUUCCAAUUCGAAAAAGAAAAGGAGCUGAAAACGUUUUCCGACACGGAACAAUGGCACAACAGAACCAGGUUUCCAACGGACCAUUUUGUGGUGUCUCUGUAUUUCAUCCUCGAGGCCCCCUUCAAUUUUAAUGAGUUGUGUCUCAACUUUAGUCCUCUCUUCUUUCAUUGUAGUAUUUGUAGAGGGAGGAUUAUAUCUGGUUGCUGGUUCCCAUUUUUGUCACCUUCCACAAUUUGUGUUGGAUAUUUGUGUUAUGUUUAUUUUAUUAUAUAUAUUUUUUUUUAAUUUCAACAUACUGUCCAUAGUGGUUUUGAAGUUCCAGAAAUGCCUACCUUUCAAAAUCCAGAUCAUUUAAAUGUAUGUUUAUAAUGGUUUGCAUAAAUAUUUUUGUAACAUUAAACUCCUUUUAACAACGUGACUCUGCUCAGUCCUCUUUAGAAUGACAUGCUGGCUUUGUGGAAGAGCUGGUGUAGAAUGUUACUUGAGAACUCCAGCACCAAGGGGUUUAGACUUUAUUGAGCCAUUAAUGAGAAGACAGAGUAAAGACUUGGCACUACAUCUGAAAUAAACAAAUGUCUUGCUAUUCUGUUCCAUAGCACUACAUUCUGCAGAUUUCAGAUUUUUUCUUUUAGAAGAAACGUCAGCGUUCCUUCUCCAACAUCCAGCACAGGGCACUGAUGAGCAGCAGCAUGGAAUCCUUCAGCAUUUCACCGAGGCACAGAAGUGGUGUGCUGAGAACAUUUCUGUGUUCAGAGGGCGAAUCUCACUCCCUGCAUUACUGUCAAUGGACAAAGACGACACUGAGGAGGCCCUUCAGAAAUUUGAUUUGCUAUCUGAAUUUCCAGAAGAAGAGGAGAGGGAAUAUGUCUUUAGACAUAUUUUUUUUCACAUAUGGAAGACAUGCAUCUGUUUUUAGAUUAACGUGAGAGGAAAAAGGAAAAUGACUGAGUUUUGUGAGAAAAUGUAACAAACAUACAUGUCCCUCAUUGUUCAGUUACAACCUACAAUUCUUGUUCUAUAUUUUAUAUAUUCUUUAACUUUUUUGUAAUAAAUGUUGCAAACCAACUUCA